CCCUCUACCUACACAUCCCAUCCUUUUUGCAACGUGGUGUGACAAGUAUCGAAACAAAUAUUGGGUCUACCCUGAGAGACCAAAAAAAAUUAUAUAUAUAUAUAUAUAUAUAUCAGCAUCUUGGCUUGACGACUUUGCUCGUAAAAGGAAAUUUCCUGCAUCCUAAAUCAGGUUGGCUUAGCUACUCUUUCACCCAGGGGUGCCUUUAGGUGAUGACCAACUUGUAAACCCGCUGUCAUGAUUUUGUGGGACCCCUCACCAUGCGUUUGGACACAAAUAGGGUAACAUAUGUCAACCUUGAAGCCUCCAAAUUUGAAAGCACAUUGAAUGAGUUUCUAGUCAGGAUAUUUCCAUUUAUAGAAGUUGGAUUUGAUAGCAUUUGCAUGCAGCACGUGGCCAUAAUGUGUUGACGUAGGAAGGGAUGCUGCUGUCGUCUGAGCUUCAUUAAAGCCACUUGUGUUUUUAAUGAACCACAUCCUCGACUCGGGUUGUCUCCAUUCAUUAAGACCUUCUUUCAUCAGGAGCGCACACACACGCAGGCACUUUUGUGUAUUUGUACUUGAAAUCCUAUUGACAUGUUUUGCUCACAGAUUUAAUGGCCUUUGGAAAAAUGUGCAUUUGAGCCCUGUGAUCUACGCGACUGACCAAGCAGCACAUGCAAUGAAUAGCAAGUCAUAAUCUCCGACUGACGCCGCCUGAGACAAGAACAAGUUAGUGAUUUAAUUUCCCUCUGGUGGCAUUCUAAAAAUGCAGAAACAACCAUUCCUUGUUAUCAUAAGAGUACCAACACAAAUUUAAUUCUCUAGCCCGGCCCGCGUGAGGGAUGAGAUUAAUUGUUGGCAUGCAUGUCAAAAUGGAAACCCUUGUGGGAAUGUUAGUUUAUGGCUACAAUAAUUAUUUUUGCGUGCGUGUAUCACCUCACCCAAAAGUGUGCGUGGCAGUUGACCACCAUGGUGCGCUCGAUCAGUUCAUCGGGGCAUUCCAGGAGGUGGUGGCCCGACACUACACCGGCGUUGUUGAUGAGUAUGUCCACCUCGCCCACCUCUCGACGCACCUUCUCAGCUGUGGAGUACACACUCUCGCGCUUGCCCACGUCACACGCGUAUGUGUACACCUGGGGCUGGAAUGGGGGCACUUCUUCAACACCGCCUAAAGUAGUCGCUGUAGAAAAGUUGCACAUACGUUUUUGUGGCAGGAUUGGUAAAUUAGUCCUUUUAGCGUUUCUUAAAUUUCCAGUGCAUGAACAUUAUAUAGCAAGUAAAUGCAAAAUGUACUAUUUUAAUUGCGGGAUAUAGUAUAGUAUUUUUGUGGCUCAAAAUAUAGCAAUUUAUUGGACAAUUGUUUUACUUGAAUUAAUUAUAGUGUGGGCAUGCCAUCUAGUGUGGAGGUGUACAAUUAGAAUUGUUUGGCCUUCAACUUGAAUCUGCACGUCGCAACAUACAGUUGUAGGCGUCGUACGCAAUUCACAGAAUAUAUCAUCAAAGUAGUGGAAUGUCAGGCGAGUUAAGAUUACACAACGCAUUUCAGCGUGCAAUGCAUGGAAUACACGUUUUCCAGCGCAAAUGCAGAAGAGAAUGCGAAGGUCACGUGACUUAACACCAUUUCUCAUUUCUGCUAAGAAUAAAUCAAAUACAUUAUGUAUCAAAUAAAUACCGGCAUUAAAAUAACGCCACGCUACCCACCAUCUUUGGAGGUCGGCGUGUCUACUUCGUGGUAAAUCUGCCGCACAAUCUCUGCCGUCUCUUCGUUGCUUUGGCUGUUAAUGUCCCACAGCACCAGGAUGGCUCUCCGCCGGGCGAACUCCUUGGCGAAGAGC